rnacentral:misc_RNA from 1 species
AACGGUCUAUACCUGCGGUACCUGCGGAGGGAUCAUUAUUGAAUAACUUGGUGUUGAUGCUGGCCUUCGGGCAUGUGCUCGCAUCAUAUUAUUUAUCUAUCUCUUGUGCACCUUUUGUAGUCUCGCGGAAUGGGUCUGGUCCGAAGUCAAGGCUUCGAUCCAAUUCAAAGGACUCCGCUUCUUGCGAGGCUAUGUUUUCAUAUACACUUUAAAAAAGUUUUGAAUGUUCAAUUUAUUGAC